AUUGAACGCUGGCGGCAGGCCUAACACAUGCAAGUCGAGCGGAUGAAGGGAGCUUGCUCCUGGAUUCAGCGGCGGACGGGUGAGUAAUGCCUAGGAAUCUGCCUGGUAGUGGGGGAUAACGUCCGGAAACGGGCGCUAAUACCGCAUACGUCCUGAGGGAGAAAGUGGGGGAUCUUCGGACCUCACGCUAUCAGAUGAGCCUAGGUCGGAUUAGCUAGUUGGUGGGGUAAAGGCCUACCAAGGCGACGAUCCGUAACUGGUCUGAGAGGAUGAUCAGUCACACUGGAACUGAGACACGGUCCAGACUCCUACGGGAGGCAGCAGUGGGGAAUAUUGGACAAUGGGCGAAAUCCUGAUCCAGCCAUGCCGCGUGUGUGAAGAAGGUCUUCGGAUUGUAAAGCACGUUAAGUUGGGAGGAAGGGCAGUAAGUUAAUACCUUGCUGUUUUGACGUUACCAACAGAAUAAGCACCGGCUAACUUCGUG
rnacentral:rRNA from 1 species